AGAGGUAUAGUACAACGGCAGUAUGACUGGCUCCAAACCAGUAGAUAGGGGUUCGAUUCCUUUUGCCUCUG
rnacentral:tRNA from 1 species